AUACGGAGGGAGCGAGCGUUAAUCGGAAUUACUGGGCGUAAAGCGCGCGUAGGCGGCUUUGUAAGUCGGAUGUGAAAGCCCUGGGCUCAACCUGGGAAUUGCAUUCGAUACUGCUUGGCUAGAGUAUGGUAGAGGGUAGUGGAAUUCCUGGUGUAGCGGUGAAAUGCGUAGAUAUCAGGAGGAACAUCAGUGGCGAAGGCAGCUACCUGGACCAAUACUGACGCUAAGGUGCGAAAGCGUGGGGAGCAAACAGGAUUAGAAACCCCGGUAGUCC
rnacentral:rRNA from 1 species